AACGAACGCUGGCGGCAUGCCUAACACAUGCAAGUCGAACGCGUGUAGCAAUACACGAGUGGCGGACGGGUGAGUAACGCGUGGGAACCUGCCCAGUGGUAGGGAAUAACUGCGGGAAACUGCAGCUAAUACCCUAUACGCCCUUUGGGGGAAAGAUUCAUCGCCAUUGGAGGGGCCCGCGUCGGAUUAGCUAGUUGGCGGGGUAACGGCCCACCAAGGCAACGAUCCGUAGCUGGUCNGGGAGGACGAUCAGCCACACUGGCACUGCGACACGGGCCAGACUCCUACGGGAGGCAGCAGUGAGGAAUAUUGCGCAAUGGGCGAAAGCCUGACGCAGCGACGCCGCGUGGGGGAUGAAGGUCUUCGGAUUGUAAACCCCUUUCGGGAGGGAAGAUGGGACGAGCAAUCGUUCGGACGGUACCUCCAGAAGCAGCCACGGCUAACUUCGUGCCAGCAGCCGCCGCGGUAAU
rnacentral:rRNA from 1 species